GAGCCCCAAGAACAGAUGCUGUGUUCUCACGUUCUCACUGUCCGAAGAGAAGGAGCUUCUGGCUGAGAGCAGAGAUGCCUCGUGUCCAGCUAGGCCUCUCCUGCCAUGGCCUGUUGGUCAAACUACACUGGCCGGUGCUGGUGAUCCUGCAUGUGCUGCGUUCCCGGUGCCGUGGCCUUCACUGGGAGAGGAUCCGGGGCUCAGAGAGCCUCCGUGGUUUGGCAGCAGAGUCAUGGGAUGCACCCCAUGACUGGCUAAUUGGUCCCUUAGCACCAGACUCAGACAUCAUCGUCCUGGCACUGCUGCCCUGCUGCCUGGCACACCCUCUCCACCAGGCGCACUGGGGACAGAAAGAGAAGCUCUGUCAGCAUGUGGACCCACCCAACCACCAGCCAUGCCAGAGGAUAAAUCAGUAUUCAGUGCUUAGCGUGGCCCUGUGGUCUUGGCCUCCUCUGGCUACUUCCUGUUGGAGUCAGCCCUUGUGCUCCCUAAUCUCAUGGUGAGAAAACUUUGUUUCCAGAGAAGCUGUCCAGCGUGGCUAUUAGCAGGGUCACCUCUCUCCAGCAGAGGAGCUGGACUUCUUACCUGGAAGCUCAGGACUUUGUAGGAAGCUCCCAGGCCUUAAAGGUGAGGCCAUGUCUCACAGGAUUUUCUGGGGGGCAGAGUGCAUGUGCAGCAUGUCCCCCAGGGUCUGGCCCCCACUACUACCAUCGGCUAGCUCUGGUGCCGUGGUGCCUGAAAUACUGGUCUCAGCCUGCACACCUAGAGACGGGAUGCAGACCUAACGCUCUGCGUGUAAGCCUUCCAGUUUUAUCUCCCAAAGCUCUCCCCUUUUACGCCCCACUCUCUCCCUAACUGAACCCCAUUCCACCGAACACCCUGUGUGCCCAUGCCUCUGCACACUCUGCUCUCUGCCCAGAGUACCCUGCCUCCAGUCAUCUGGGUGGGUGGCCAAUUCUCCACCAGCUCUCCUCCUCCCCUGGGCCUUUCCUGACCAUCCCUAUCCUCAUCCCCAGAGCUGGCUUUCUGUUUCUUCUCCCAGUUGCUCAGAGGUGACAGUGGCUCAUCUGGAUGGUACACAGGCAGGGCCCAGCGGUUGUAGAGCACUUCUUAGGAGCCCGAGAAAGCAGCCCUGGAGGAAGGCUGCUCAGAGGCCUGGCCCUGACAGUGACGGUAGUGACUGGCAGUCAAACAGGGGGAAGGCAAACACAACUCUGAAGCUGGGCUCUGAGGUUCAAAACCCACUUAUAGGGACACUUGGGUGGCUCAGUGGCUGAACGCCUGCCUUUGACUCAGGGUGUGAUCCUGAGG